UACGGAGGGUGCAAGCGUUAAUCGGAAUUACUGGGCGUAAAGCGCACGCAGGUGGCUGAGUCAGUCGAUUGUGAAAGCCCUGGGCUUAACCUGGGAAUUGCAGUCGAUACUACUCAGCUAGAGUAUGGGAGAGGGUAGUGGAAUUCCCGGUGUAGCGGUGAAAUGCGUAGAUAUCGGGAGGAACAUCAGUGGCGAAGGCGGCCUUCUGGGCCAACACUGACGCUCAUGCACGAAAGCGUGGGGAGCAAACAGG
rnacentral:rRNA from 1 species